rnacentral:tRNA from 2 species
GGCGAUUUGGCCGAGCGGUCUAAGGCGUGCGACUCAAGCGCAAGCUUACCUGAAUUCACAGGCUUCGCAUAGAGCAAUCUGCGUGGGUUCGAAUCCCACAGUCGUCA